rnacentral:rRNA from 1 species
CGCAGUAGUCAUAUGCUUAUCUCACAGAUUAAGCCAUGCAAGUGUAAGUUCAUGCUCUCUAAUGAGCGAGACCGCGAACGGCUCAUUAAAUCGGACAUAACUUACUUGAUAAUUUCAUAUGACGGUGGAUAACUGUUGUAAAUCUAGAGCUAAUACAUGCGUGAGCUUAUGUAAGCGCAAUUAUUAGUGAGUUGACUCUGGAUAAAUUUGCUGAUCACUAGCAGUGCUUGUGACGUAUCAAUUAGAUGUCCGCCCCAUCAAUUGCGAUGGUAAGGUAGUGGCUUACCAUGGUUGCAACGGGUAACGGGGAAUCAGGGUUCGAUUCCGGAGAGGGAGCAUGAGAAACGGCUGCCAGAUCUAUGGAUUGCAGCAGGUGCGAAAAUUAUCCACUUUUGGCAUAAAGAGAUAGUGAUGAUAAAUAACGGAUCUGGGCAUUUGUUCAGAGAUCGUAAUGAAAUAAUCGUAAAAGCUUUAUUGAAAGCAAUUGGAGGGCAAGUCUGGUGCCAGCAGCCGCGGCAAUUCCAGUUCCAAUAGUGUAUACUAAAGUUGCUGCAGUUGAAAAGCUCGUAGUUGGAUCUCGGUUUGCUGGCGCACAAGGUGCGCAAGUAGGCCUGUGCUGUAGUUGAGUGCUACGGCUUUACCUUGAACAAAAUAGAGUGCUUAAGGCAAGCAUUCUGCUUGAAUAUCUCAGCAUGGAAUAAUAGAAAAAGACUUUCUAUUGGUUAGCCAGUGAAAGUAAUGAUUAACAGAGACAGACGGGGGCAUUCGUAUUGCACCGCUAGAGGUGAAAUUCGUAGACCGGUGCAGGACGAACUACAGCGAAAGCAUUUGCCAAGGAUGUUUUCAUUAAUCAAGAACGACAGUUGGAGUAUCGAAGUCGAUAUU